GAUUAUGGCUCAGGACGAACGCUGGCGGCGUGCUUAACACAUGCAAGUUGAACGGUAUGACAUGGAAGCUUGCUGAAGUGUCAUAUAGUAGCGGACGGGUGAGUAAUGCAUGAGAAGCUGCCAUUGGGAGGGGGACAACAGUUGGAAACGGCUGCUAAUACCCCGUAUGCCGGAGGGUGAAAGGGAGUAAUCCGCCCGAUGAGGUGCUCAUGUCCUAUCAGCUGGUUGGUGGGGUAACGGCCUACCAAGGCGACGACGGGUAGCCGGCCUGAGAGGGUGAACGGCCACACUGGAACUGAGAUACGGUCCAGACUCCUACGGGAGGCAGCAGUGGGGAAUAUUUGGGCAAUGGGGGCAACCCUGACCCAGCGACGCCGCGUGGGGGAAGACGGCCUUCGGGUUGUAAACCUCUUUUGUACGGGAAGAAGGAAGUGACGGUACUGUACGAAUAAGUCCCGGCUAACUACGUGCCAGCCGCCGC
rnacentral:rRNA from 1 species